rnacentral:rRNA from 1 species
UACGUAGGGUCCGAGCGUUAAUCGGAAUUACUGGGCGUAAAGCGUGCGCAGGCGGUCUUGUAAGCCAGAUGUGAAAGCCCCGGGCUCAACCUGGGAACUGCAUUUGGGACUGCAAGGCUGGAGUACGGCAGAGGGAGGUGGAAUUCCGACGUGUAGCAGUGAAAUGCGUAGAGAUGUGGAGGAACACCGAUGGCGAAGGCAGCCUCCUGGGCUAGUACUGACGCUCAUGCACGAAAGCGUGGGGAGCGAACAGG